rnacentral:misc_RNA from 1 species
GGAAGUAAAAGUCGUAACAAGGUCUCCGUAGGUGAACCUGCGGAGGGAUCAUUACAGAGUUCAUGCCCUACCGGGUAGAUCUCCCACCCUAUGUUAUUAUUACUUUGUUGCUUUGGCGGGCCGUUAGGCUCCGGCCCGACUACCGGCCCCGGCUGGUAAGCGCCCGCCAGAGGACCCAAAACCCUGAAUAUUAGUGUCGUCUGAGUACUAUAUAAUAGUUAAAACUUUCAACAACGGAUCUCUUGGUUCUG